rnacentral:rRNA from 1 species
AACGAACGCUGGCGGCAGGCCUAACACAUGCAAGUCGAGCGAAGCCUUCGGGCUUAGCGGCGGACGGGUGAGUAACGCGUGGGAACGUGCCCUUUGGUACGGAAUAGCCCCGGGAAACUGGGAGUAACACCGUAUGUGGUCGAGAGACGAAAGAUUUAUCGCCAAAGGAUCGGCCCGCGUUGGAUUAGGUAGUUGGUGGGGUAAUGGCCUACCAAGCCGACGAUCCAUAGCUGGUUUGAGAGGAUGAUCAGCCAUACUGGGACUGAGACACGGCCCAGACUCCUACGGGAGGCAGCAGUGGGGAAUCUUAGACAAUGGGGGAAACCCUGAUCUAGCCAUGCCGCGUGAUCGAUGAAGGCCUUAGGGUUGUAAAGAUCUUUCAGUGGGGAAGAUAAUGACUGUACCCACAGAAGAAGCCCCGGCUAACUCCGUUCCAGCCGCCGCCGUAACAC